GAAGCUCCAAACCCUUCGCUGCUGCAACCCGUACUGCGACGUGCCGGUGGUGGCGCUGCCCCCGCAGGCCGCCCCGCAGUCCCCCCCGCAGCAGUCCGGGGCGGUGGCGGUAUGCGCGCAGUGUUGCUACUGUUGCAUGCAGACCGGGUCGUACUGCUGUCUGAUCGCCGCGGCGGGCUGCGUGGCGUGUAUCAAUGGGUGCUGCUAUGGGUGGUGCGGGCCGGAAUAUUGUUGCUGACGCUACCGGCCAAGUGAUUUAAGUUAUUACAAAUAUUAUUUAUAUCUUUGUUAAUUUUUAUUGUAGAAGGGAUAUAAAAUAAAUAAUCAUUUG